AGUUUCCAUAUUGGAAUAUUCUGAACAGUGGGUAAGCCAUUUUUUUUUGUUCUUGUCAAGGAAAAAAUGACCAUUUUCUCCCUUUCAAUAUCAUACUCAUAUCAAUAGAAUUGUUAUUCUAUAACCAUUAGGUCUUAAAUAGUUCAUAUCAAUAUCAAAUUUAUGUCCCCUACUGAGAAAAAUUCUUUAAAAAUUAUAUUUCUAGUUCAAAAUAAUUUCUGAAUUAAUGACCUUUUCCUUUCUUUUAGUAUCUACGUCUGUAAAGAAAUCCUUAUUGUAACAUCCAUAUUUUACAAUCAUACUUU
rnacentral:lncRNA from 1 species